rnacentral:rRNA from 1 species
GUACAAGCAGUGGGAGCACAGGUUUACCUGUGUGACUGCGUACCUUUUGUAUAAUGGGUCAGCGACUUAUAUUCUGUAGCAAGGUUAACCGAAUAGGGGAGCCGGAGGGAAACCGAGUCUUAAUUGGGCGUUAAGUUGCAGGGUAUAGACCCGAAACCCGGUGAUCUAGCCAUGGGCAGGUUGAAGGUUGGGUAACACUAACUGGAGGACCGAACCGACUAAUGUUGAAAAAUUAGCGGAUGACCUGUGGCUGGGGGUGAAAGGCCAAUCAAACCGGGAGAUAGCUGGUUCUCCCCGAAAGCUAUUUAGGUAGCGCCUCGUGAAUUCAUCUCCGGGGGUAGAGCACUGUUUCGGCUAGGGGGCCAUCCCGGCUUACCAACCCGAUGCAAACUGCGAAUACCGGAGAAUGUUAUCACGGGAGACACACGGCGGGUGCUAACGUCCGUCGUGAAGAGGGAAACAACCCAGACCGCCAGCUAAGGUCCCAAAGUCAUGGUUAAGUGGGAAACGAUGUGGGAAGGCCCAGACAGCCAGGAUGUUGGCUUAGAAGCAGCCAUCAUUUAAAGAAAGCGUAAUAGCUCACUGGUCGAGUCGGCCUGCGCGGAAGAUGUAACGGGGCUAAACCAUGCACCGAAGCUGCGGCAGCGACGCUUAUGCGUUGUUGGGUAGGGGAGCGUUCUGUAAGCCUGUGAAGGUGGCCUGUGAGGGUUGCUGGAGGUAUCAGAAGUGCGAAUGCUGACAUAAGUAACGAUAAAGCGGGUGAAAAGCCCGCUCGCCGGAAGACCAAGGGUUCCUGUCCAACGUUAAUCGGGGCAGGGUGAGUCGACCCCUAAGGCGAGGCCGAAAGGCGUAGUCGAUGGGAAACGGGUUAAUAUUCCCGUACUUGGUGUUACUGCGAAGGGGGGACGGAGAAGGCUAUGUUGGCCGGGCGACGGUUG